rfam:Salmo salar isolate Sally breed double haploid chromosome ssa06, whole genome shotgun sequence.
UGCAUUCACUACUGUAAGUCGCUCUGGAUAACAGCGUCUGCUAAAAUAACUAAAA